GACGAACGCUGGCGGCGUGCUUAACACAUGCAAGUCGAACGGCAAGGCCCUGCUUUUGUGGGGUGCCCGAGUGGCGAACGGGUGAGUAACACGUGAGUAACCUGCCCUUGACUUUGGGAUAACUUCAGGAAACUGGGGCUAAUACCGGAUAGGAGCUCCUGCUGCAUGGUGGGGGUUGGAAAGUCUCGGCGGUUGGGGAUGGACUCGCGGCUUAUCAGCUUGUUGGUGGGGUAGUGGCUUACCAAGGCUUUGACGGGUAGCCGGCCUGUGAGGGUGACCGGCCACAUUGGGACUGAGAUACGGCCCAGACUCCUACGGGAGGCAGCAGGGGGGAAUAUGGCACAAUGGGCGCAAGCCUGAUGCAGCAACGCCGCGGGUGGGAUGACGGCCUGCUGGUUGUAAACCGCUUUCGCCUGUGACGAAGCGGGAGUGACGGUAAUGGGUAAAGAAGCACCGGCUAACUACGUG
rnacentral:rRNA from 1 species